CGGGUCCCUCGGGGCCCAACCUCCCACCCGUGUUGCCCGAACCUAUGUUGCCUCGGCGGGCCCCGCGCCCGCCGACGGCCCCCCUGAACGCUGUCUGAAGUUGCAGUCUGAGACCUAUAACGAAAUUAGUUAAAACUUUCAACAACGGAUCUCUUGGUUCCGGCAUCGAUGAAGAACGCAGCGAAAUGCGAUAACUAAUGUGAAUUGCAGAAUUCAGUGAAUCAUCGAGUCUUUGAACGCACAUUGCGCCCUCUGGUAUUCCGGAGGGCAUGCCUGUCCGAGCGUCAUUGCUGCCCUCAAGCCCGGCUUGUGUGUUGGGCCCCGUCCCCCCCGCCGGGGGGACGGGCCCGAAAGGCAGCGGCGGCACCGCGUCCGGUCCUCGAGCGUAUGGGGCUUCGUCACCCGCUCUAGUAGGCCCGGCCGGCGCCAGCCGACCCCCAACCUUUAAUAUCUCAGGUUGACCUCGGAUCAGGUAGGGAUGCCC
rnacentral:rRNA from 1 species